rnacentral:snRNA from 1 species
AUACCUUUCUCGGCCUUUUGGCUAAGAUCAAGUGUAGUAUCUGUUCUUAUCAGUUUAAUAUCUGAUAUGUGAGUCAUUGACUCACACGAUAUUAACUUAAUUUUUUUAGGGGGAGGGUUCAUUAAGGUAGCUUGCUACCUGGACACCUUCGUGUGUCGUUUUGGUGUUGCACUACAACCAAAGCCUGGCGCACCCCAC